AACGAACGCUGGCGGCAGGCUUAACACAUGCAAGUCGAACGGGUGUAGCAAUACAUCAGUGGCAGACGGGUGAGUAACACGUGGGAACCUUCCUAGGGGUACGGAACAACUCAGGGAAACUUGAGCUAAUACUGUAUACGUCCGUGAGGAGAAAGAUUUAUCGCCCUUAGACGGGCCCGCGUCGGAUUAGCUAGUUGGUGGGGUAACGGCCUACCAAGGCGACGAUCCGUAGCUGAUCUUAGAGGAUGAUCAGCCACACUGGGACUGAGACACGGCCCAGACUCCUACGGGAGGCAGCAGUGGGGAAUCUUGGACAAUGGGCGCAAGCCUGAUCCAGCCAUGCCGCGUGAGUGAAGAAGGUCUUCGGAUUGUAAAGCUUUUUUGCCAGGGACGAUAAUGACGGUACCUGGAGAAUAAGCCCCGGCAAACUUCGUGCCAGCCGCCGCGGUAA
rnacentral:rRNA from 1 species